rnacentral:rRNA from 1 species
GCUUACGGCCAUACCACCUUGAAUGCUCCUGAUCUCGCAAGCUAAGCAGGGUCAGGCCUGGUUAGUACUUGGAUGGGUGACCACCUGGGAAUACCGGGUGCUGUAAGCU